UACGUAGGGUGCGAGCGUUGUCCGGAAUUAUUGGGCGUAAAGAGCUUGUAGGCGGUCUGUCGCGUCUGCUGUGAAAAUCCGGGGCUCAACCCCGGACUUGCAGUGGGUACGGGUAGACUAGAGUGUGGUAGGGGAGACUGGAAUUCCUGGUGUAGCGGUGAAAUGCGCAGAUAUCAGGAGGAACACCGGUGGCGAAGGCGGGUCUCUGGGCAGUAACUGACGCUGAGGAGCGAAAGCGUGGGGAGCGAACAGG
rnacentral:rRNA from 1 species